UUCCAGCCGCUUCAUUCCUGACCCGGCAAAGCCUGGCCUUUGUUGAGGGGGGCUUGAGGCGCUCUCUCUUCUCUUGGUUUGGCUGGACCAGGUUCAGGAGAAAAGGGAACAAAGGAGAAUGCAACAGGCUAUUCUGCUGGCGGCCGGCUGAACCCAGGGAAGAGCCGGACCAAACGGAGGCCCCCAUGAGGGACUUGGCAAAAGACUCUUGUUGGGUUACCAUCUUGAACUUGAAGGAGGCCUUUUUUGCACACUCUUGAGUUUUGAAUCCCAAGAGUUGUCUGCUUUCGAAUGGGAAGGUCGAGAUAAAGGAGUUAAACUCCAGUACUGCUGGACGGUGCUUCCUCAGGGAGUUAAAAAUUCUCACACUACUUGGAGAAGUCCUGGCGAGACCUGAGGGACCUUGAACUAAACGGGGGAGCCCUGAUUACCAGUGAGACAAAGGACUCCUGAGACCAAGGUAUGGGUUUGACUUCGACCUUCUUGGCUGAACGAGGCUGUAAGGUGUCCAAGAAAAAGGUAGAUUCUCAGCCCUUUGUUAAAUAUUCUGGGGUUUUGAACUCAAGGACAGAGAGCUGCUCCCUGCUGGGAGGGAAGCUCUAGCCAGGACUGCAGUUGCCACCAGGAGGCAACUGUGGGAUUCCUGGGAGCGACUGGGCGCUGCUACACCUGGACCCCCAAGUUUGGACUCGUAGCAAAACCCUUUUAAUGAAGCUUUUAAAGGCAGUUACACAGAAACCCUAGACUGAAAUCUUGGAGGAUAAACAUCCAGGAGACCGGCUUCAUUCCUGCUGGACGGGACCUUGUGAGAAAUGCGAUGGGAAACGGAAACCACGCUGCAGAAGGAAGACCGCGACCGAGAUCAUCCAAACCUUGUCUGGUUUCAGACCCCGACACUGACUUCUUUCAGGGGCAGGUGAACCCCGACAGAUCUUCAGCUGCUUUUCAGAAGCUGCGAGAAAGAAAUCAAGGUGAGUGGGUUUGCUGCAGUGGUGGCUUUGGUCACAUCAGACGCUUCAGAAGGCAACUUAAAUAACUUGUUAUAAGAAGGAUCUGUUCUCGUGGUAGUCCUUUGUUUCUAACUUCCUAGGUUUGGAAGGACUUUGGUUGCACUGGUAACUUAUCAGGCUGAUCACCUGACCCCUGUCUUUCCCUGGAUCUCUAAAAAUCCUAAAUGUUAACCAUGGCUGGCAUUCUCUGUGCUCCUGAGGGGUAUGUCUUUGCAGUUUCAGUUAUCAGUCUUGGUCCCGUGGCUGCCUUGGCAGCUGGUGCCUGGGUGGUAUUUAUUUAUUGGGUCAAUGUUAACAUGACCCAAUGUUAACAAGAAAGUAUACUCAAAUGAGUGCUUGAUAGUUUGACUUCUCAAGCGCUUGUUGGAUCUCUGCCCCUUAGCAGCAGGGAGUAGCCAGAGGCAUCCUCACCCCUCUCCCUGGAGGUUGAGGAACAACGAGAAGAUGGCGGUGCUGAACCUUGAACCCGUGGGUUAGACGCACUCCACCUGCCAUCCCUAACGAAGGUUGUGAAGACUUGCGUGGCCUCCAGGCAGCCUAAUCAGUAGGUGUUUGUCGGAGUUGUUCUCCAGGAGCUUGGAGUCAGCUGUGUCGAGUUAGGGCUCAGCCAGUUGAGAUGGGGUAGGACCACCGACCCCUCAGCUGGGCCUGCGCCUGCACUGGAGACCUUGUGAACGUGCAGAGGCCUGGAGCCUAGUUACGCCUGCGCAGAAGGACGAUUACACACCUUUUGCCCAUCACGGCAGCCCUAUUCGCUGUCCCAUUAGUACCCCAGCCCCUUGCCUUCUGGGAGGCAGAUCGGAGAUUUGUCCCCCAGCCUCCUUGCCGCAGACCUCGGCAGCUCAGCGUCUUGGCUGGCCCUGCACCAGGCAGAACGAACCUGGUUCAGUAACCGUGACACGAAUUCACUUGUGACAUGUCACCUAGGAGGGUGCUCGAAUGCACCAUCUCCAGAAAGCCCCUGACGGGAAACCUGGUCCAGCUGGGCUCAGCACCCUCAGACGCCGGGCCUUCCCAGUUGGUCUGAAAACGCAAGUAACUCGUUACCAGAAAUAGCUAGUCUUUCAGUUGUUUAGUUCUCAGAACUCGGAGGCAGCUCCUUCCUCCCAGGCCCGGAGUCCUCCCUUCCCUCCUGGCUAGAGUACUUCCUGAGUGGAGGACGAAGGCUGGAGGAGCCCAGGGCUCCGGAUCUGGUGGGUGUAGACCCCCCCACACCGCCGCCAGGACAGACACCAGCUGGUCCCGUGGACCGGUCCAGCAUCUCAGCUCCCAGGGAGGCGAGCCUGACCCGGAGCGAGGAGGUGACUGCCCGAGGUAAACGUCUAGCUUUCGGUGGAGAGGACUAGUACACGGCUCUCCUAACGACGAACCCUUCACGGCAGAUGAAGCUGGCGGGGGAGGCUGACGCAGGGCAGGCGGAGCUGUGGGCUGGAGGGAGGCCGUCCCGGGGGACGGAGGUCACCUGCUGAGGGAACCUCAUCUGCGCUCGGCCCGCUGAGGGACCUGAGGCUUCUUCCCAUCCGCAGCCCCUCACCCUCGACACAGGCUGGGUCAUGUCUGUCUGCCCCUGGCAGCACAGAUACUCCUACCCGGCUGUUCUCAGGUGAGCCGAGGGGUGGGGCUGUGGAGCCUGCAACUCGGGGGCCGUGAGGACCAGGCUCAGCUCACAGAUGGAGGAGCAAGCCGGAGGGAGGGGCCAGCUGCCCGUGGCCGCAAGGCCAGUCGUCGCCGCUGAGAUCCAGGCCCGGGGCGCCGGGCUCUGUCCCCACGCGCCGUCCUGUGCUGCGGGCUGAGCGGGUGUGCCCUUGGUGCAGCGGACGGAGUGCGGGUCUCAGCCUGGGGCUUCAACACGGUAAGACGAUGUUUGUGGAUUUCAUCAGCAGCUGUGACACAGGAUUUUCUUUCUCUGAUUGUACAGGUUUUUAAAAAUUAAUUAAUUUUUGGACAUGUUGGGUCUUCGUUGCUGUGCGCAGGCUUUCUCUGGUUGUGGCGAGUGGGGUCUACUCUUCUUUGUGGUGCACGGGCUUCUUACUGCGGUGGCUUCUCAUUGCGGAGCACAGGCUCUAGGCGUGCUGGCUUCAGUAGUUGUGGCACGCAGGUUCAGUAGUUGUGGCUCACAGGCUCCAGAGCCCAGGCUCAGUAGUUGUGGCGCACGGGCUUAGUUGCUCUGUGGCAUGUGGGAUCUUCCCGGACCAGGGCUUGCACCCAUGUUCCCUGCACCGCCAGGUGGAUUCUUAAGCACUGCGCCCCUAGAGAAGUCUCUGAUGGUACAGUUUUAAACGUAAUGUAAUAGAAACCACAGGUGUAUGUAUUUCAGUGUUUUCUGAGCUGUGAGGAAGUGGGGUCACUUCACAAGGCAUAGGUCGCCUGUGCUGCCACUUCAAAAUGAAGAUGCGACAGGCAGGAUCCCCUCCGGGGGGGGGGGGGGAUCAGGAUAAGACACUCAGACUCUACGCAGGGAACCGUGUUGUCACGUCCUGGCUGAUCCCGGGGCGUUGUUGCGUGACCACCGGGCCAGAGCUGGAAAGGGGGUCUCACCCCAGCAAAGCCUCCGUCGGGGGAAACUGCUCACCUUUAAAAGUAAGAAGCGGACCCCGUGCCGUCAGAGCACCGAGUUCUCUGGAAUUUCCUGGGCAGCAGGGGAGGAAGGUGGCCCAGGCUUCUGGGGUCUGGAGGGCUGGCCCAGGUCUGGCCUGUGCAGCCCCUCCCGCUCCACCCAAGGGGCCGACCUGCAGGACGGAGCCCUGAGGAACCAGGUACGAGGCAAACCCAGGGUCAGUAACGCUUUUCCAAGAGAUGGCAGGCUCUGAACGUGAAGGACAAGGGCCGAGUCCCCCGACCACUGUGGGAAAUGCCGUCAUUUGCAGGGCUGAGGGAGAGGGCAAUGGGCAGCUGUGCCUCCUGCACGUGAGACCCCCGCCUGGUCCUGCACUGAGGGUAGGUGCUCCUUGAGCGGGACCCUGGGUGACUCUCCUGGCACUGGGUCAGUUAACACAUCUCUCCCGGGUAGCUGCCGCUCACGAUUCUGCUGUUCCCCACGGGCUCCGGCGACCACUGCUAUGUGCUCUGCAGAUGCUGUGUUUCUUACAGAUCCAAGGUCUGUGGCAAUCCUGCGUUGAGCAAAUCUGGUGCCGAUUCUCCAACUGCAUUUGCUCAUUUUGUCAUGCUUUAGUUAUUCUUAGAGUGUUUCAGACUUUCAUCAUUUGAUGUGUGACAGUGAUUUUACUGAUUCUGACUUGGAAAACUCAGGUGCUGGUUAGUGUUUUUUAACGAUGAAGUGUUAAGGUGUGUAGGCUGUUCAGAUGUAAGUCUGUAUACAUAACAGAUUGAAACAUAGCGUAAGCAAGCUUUAUAUGCACCGGAACACCUACCAAGUCGUGUGAUUCGUGUUGUUGUGAUCAGUUUCCGGUGAUGGAGAGAUCUUGGGUUCAUGUCUGAGGUCUGCCUGUCACACGCCCCAGGGGAGCCUGUGGAGCUCUGGGAACAGGACUGGGGCUCCAGGAACACUGCGCCCCCCUGCACCCUGUAGAAGGGACAGCCUGGACCAGUGUGACAGAAGUGCCACGUGGUCUGGAGCAGAGGAGGGUCACAGUCACUCCCGGACCAAACUGGUUGGGCUCCUCUGAGCAGUUCCCAACUAGGCCCUGACCCUUCAGGCUUCAGCGUCUGUAUUUUCAUUGUCCAUUUUAGCAAGAUUCCUGUUGUGUCAGUUUAGCCAGAGCUCCCCAGGCUCAACUUCUGACCACCAUCAACAUCUGACUGGAUUCCUCAUCCCCCGUCCUCCCCUAAUGAGGUCUGACCCUUUGGUCUGCUCUCUGCAUGAAUCCUGUACGUCGGUUUAGCGCUAUGAUCUGAAUGUGUGUCCCCCAAACUCCUGUGGAAUCCUAAUGCCUGAAGUGAUGGUGUUGGCCUUUGGGAGGUGAUGAUGUCAUGAGGGUGGAGCCCCUGUGAAUGGGAUUAGUGCCCUGAUAAGAGACCCCUGAGAGCCCCCAGCCCUUCUGCCACGUGAAGACACAGGGAGAAGAUGCCGUCUGUGAACCAGGAAGAAGCCUCACCAGACGUUGAAUCUGCCGGCACCUUGAUCCUGGACGUCCAGUCUCUAGGCUGUGAGGACUCGACUCGUGCUUAAGCCCCAAGUCCAGCCCUGUUAGAGCAGCUCAGACAGACACCUCCACCCCUGCUGUUUCCUCUGACUUCCCGUUGGUGGCACCACCUGCUCCUGGCUGUCACCCCCACAGUGGGAGGCAGAGCCAGCGGGACCUGCUGAUGGAGUGGAUGUUCAGGAAUCAAACGGCGGAAUCGAGGACGAUGCCAGGAGUUCUGACAUAAACAGGCAGUAAAGAUGAAGCUGAAGGAAGACAGGCUGUUGAGGAGAAAAUCAAAGCCGGUUUGGGGUGGAGUGGAGCCCGACGCCUGCCCAACACACCGGACAAGAUGUUCGAGGGAAGCUGGCUGUGCAGCCGGGGCGGAGAGGCUCAGAUUCCCCUCCCCGCCGCCUGGGCCCUGAUCUCCGAGACCCUCCGGACACCCUCCUCUUACAGGGCCGACUUGAUCUGCCUCUGACCGUGGCAAGGAUGCUGGCGAUUGGGGAGGCCAGCCUGGGAACACCGCCACCUGCCCCUCCCCCAGCGAGGUGACCACACACAGAGCUGGUGACUACUGCUCCUCACCCGCUGAGCGUUCUCCAGAGACACUUCUGCCACUGCUGCGACAGAUGCCGUCACCUCCGCACUCAGUUAGUGCCUACUGAAUGCGUACCGCGCAGCAGGUGCUGCAGGACCUGGAGCAGGUCAUCCCAGGGGGCCCUACAGCAGCCCGUGUCACAGGGAAGGAGGGACCCGGCGGAGGACUGUCUCUGGCUCCUCACACGGCCGGGGCUGGCCCCAGGUCCCUGUCGCCGUGAGACCCGGCCCCUUGCUGGCCGGCUUCAGUUAUAAUGCUCACUGUGCUCGGCCGGGAGACGCAUGCGGCCGUGCUUAGACCUCGUCCACCUCAGGAGCGGGGCUGGGGCCGGAGCCCAGGGAGCACGGACCUACCCGCUGUGCCACGUUAACGCUGGAGAAGGGUCACCUGCAGAUGCUCAGGCCAGGCUGACGCCUCAUCUCUGAGAGGAACAGCCUGAGACAGACCAGCACUGCCUCCCCGCCCAGGAAGAAGAGUCUGGAGAGACGGGAAGAAGACCCGGCAAUGCCAGGACAGCAGGGACUGCAGGUAUAAUGGUCCACGCAUUGAUAACGAAGCAGCAGCAAUAUGAUGGAUGUAGUGUGGACAAGGAGUGUCGCCUGCCAUUCCAGUAACAAAGAACACCGGGCACGAUCGAGCCAUCAGCUGCUGCAGCUGCCCUGACAGCGUGCCCUUUGGGGAUUCAGGAAACAUUCUGUGCUCUGGAAAGUAUUGGAUUAAAAAUGAAGAUGUCCCUUCUUCGGAGCUGGAAGCCCUGAUGAGCAUCUCCUUCCUGACAUCUCCUUCCUGACGGCACUGGCUUUCUCAGGCAACUGGGAAACUGGUGGGAGCGCUGGAGGUAAGUCCUCACACUGAGCUGCCGUCUGUAGAGGGAAACCCACUCAUCUCAGCUGGGGACACACAUAAGAGCCGGCCACUCAGUGCUGCAAGCCCCCACCAUGGUCUUAGGCUACAGAAGGUAGGGACCUGUAAGAGCGCUGCAGUGGCUCUAGGCUAAAAUCCAGAGGAAUCAAGCUCACAACCAGCACACUGGCCCACCACGGGAUCAUCACUAAUGAUUCUUAUCUCAACAAAUCGACCUUGCAAUGGGAAACAAAGCUUUCAAAACAAAAAGGAAGGACAGAUUGCUAGCCUCCAACUAACACCCAGGCCAGGUUCAUGUACAAUAUGUAUGGAAUUUAUACCUGCAAAUACUUACUUGAUUGGAGAAACCACACUAAAGGAGAUCACAACCUAAAAUGGCCAUAUUUGGGUUCUUCUGACAUUCCAGAAUGUUCUUGUAUAUGCAGCUAGUGAAAGCAGUCCGUAAGAUCAGACAGACGGAAUGGAAUGCUUAUGGAUAUUUAGAAGCUUCUAAAAGAGGAAAGGAUAAGCUUCCGCAGGAAAUCAACCAAAAAUUACUUUAUCAACAUUUCUGAAAGCUGCCAGUAUUAACCCUGCCUCUCCCUCUGCUUUUAUCUGAACCCACUGACGCAGAUGCUGUUCCCUUCUCUCUUCCAUCAGCUCUGCCCCUUGCUGCUUCCUCUCCCCUCAGGAAAGGAGGACAUUAAACCAGAAGUACUUCUAUCCCCCUUUAAGGAGAAACCUUUCACAGGAAGAGGUGAACUGUCCUCUGUGUUUACAUACACACCCUGGACUUGAACAAAACUUAGGGCUUUGGCUAAGGGGUUUCCUGAGCCUAGUCAAGACCCAUUGGGAUAUGCAAAGGAAUACGAGUUAACCAUCCAAACCUAUGAGUCUGGGUUUGCAGAUCUGUAUCCAUUAAUACAGCUAUUCCUUUCUGAAAGUAAAGCAAGGCAAUGGAUAGAGAAAGCAGAAUGGAAACACCCCUUAACAAACUUCGAUUUUCGAGUUGAAUGCAAGGAAUUAGCUCAUAAAUUACUCAUUUAUCCCAGAGUUUUUCCCAAAAGCCAUAGCCUGGACAAAAAUUCAGCACUGCAAACAAAAACAAGAUAAAAUCCUAGAUUAUGAGGUGUGAGAACUUUUAAACAAUAUACUGGCAUAACACCUGAAAUGUUCUCUAAUCACCAAAAUGAUCCUUUGCUUAAGUCCAUUUUAGAAGGUAUAAGUGAGGAAUUGGCUACUGUAAUUAAAAAACACAACUUAGGUUGGUCAGCGUUACAUACAAAUGCCCUUACCACACUGGCUGACCAGCUUUUCAAAACCAUUGAAGGAGAGGAUACAUCUAUAAAAAUCGUGAACCUUUGGGACUUCCCUGGUGGCACUGUGGUUAAGAAUCCUCCUGCCAGUGCAGACACAGGUUCAAGCCCUGGUCUGGGAAGAUCCCACAUGCUGUGGAGCAACUACUGAGCCUGCGCUCUAGACCCUGCGAGCCACAACUACUGAGCCUGCGUGCCACAACUACUGAAGCCCGUGCUCCGCAACAAGAGAAGCCACUGCAAUGAGAAGCCUGCGCACUGCAACUAGAGAAAGCCCAUGCACUGACGUGCUGCAAUGAAGACCCAACGCAGCUAAAGAUAAAUUUAUUAAAAAAAAAAAUCGUGAACCUUCAAUCAUGCCAAUUAAGUAAGCAAGGUCAGGCUACAGUUAACAAACCCUGGUUCAAUCCUCGACUGACAGAGGAACCUAGCAUUUGCUUUUACUGUGUUAAAAAAAAAAAAAAAAAACAUUGGAGAAGGAACUAUAGAAAAAUGAAAGAUUUCAAGAACAGACUAGAUUUCAGAUCAGAAUACCGAGUUACACAAGAAUAGGGCUCCUCUGAGGGAACAGUGGGAGUCUUUCUUAUGUAACACCCUGGGAGAAGUACACAAGACAGAGAGAAACAAAGCCCUAAUAGAUACAGGGACCACCUUCUCAGUUUUAAAUCAAAAUCAGAGGCUCCCUCCCAUGAAGUAAUACUUCAGUGUAGAUGGUAGGGAUUUCUACUGCACCUCUUAAGGCUCUUAAACCAUUAUCUUCAGCAUUUUACUUAGGAGAACUUAAAGGAAGGCACUCAUCGUUUCUAGUAGAAAGCACCCCUAUUCACCUGACAGGAAGAGAUUUAUUAGAAACUUAUGAAGCCCAUAUUUCCUUACUCCUAAGGGGGAGAUGUUUUUAGAGCUGAUUUCCUUCAUCAUACAAUGUUUGUGACCCAUGGUCAAGGUGAUGCAGACUAAGAUUUGCUAGGCUUAGUACCUGAAGAGUUACUGACAUAUGGAAAUACGUUCCACACCGCCCGUUAAAACGACCAGAGAUGAGAAGAACCGCGUCAGUACCCCUAUGGAGGCAGGAAGCCAUGGAGGGAAUAACACCUGCCACCAGCUCACACUGAGAAAGGCUUCACGCCUUGCACCGGCCCUUGGAACACACUCACUCUGCCAGUUAGAAGACCUCAUGGCAAGGGCUGGAGGUUUGUGUAGGGUUUGAGCUCUAGCAGUGCUAUCAUUACUCCUCGCCAUUGUGUAGUGCCAACCCCCAUCCCUCACCGUCCUGUGUUCCUGAGAAGAGUGACUUCUUUUCUGUGGCCUCCGCAGCGCACUGUUCAGCACCCCUGUGCGUCCUGGUGGCCGGUACCCUUUGCCUCUACUCGGGGUGAACGGCAGCGUGCGUGGAGUGCAAUGCGGCAGGGCUAUACUCACCGUCCCCAGACACUAAGAACGUACCUAGAUGACCUAGCUUUUCUUCAUAAGUCAGUUCUGACACAGUGUGCAGAUGAUUUGCUGUUGUGUUCAAAUUCUUUGAUAAAUAGGAAGACAGCCUGUACUUCAGGAACUAGCUCAAAGGGACAAAGUGUCCGAGGAAAAAUUACAGUUUUGUAAGGCUAAUGUGAAAUAGUUAGGACAAAUGAUAUCUCAAGGACCUUUAAUUGAUGGUGCAAGACAUUUUGGCUUUCCCCGCCCCAGGACAAAAGGGCAUUUAAGGGGAUUUCUAGACCCUGCAGGCUAUUGCAGGAACUGGAUUACAAAGUUUUUUUUUUAGUGGCCCAACCAUUAUAUAACUUGUUUAAACAAGGCCAAGCUGAACCUCGUUGGGAAAUAAAACAUUCUGAAGCCAGGGAGACCCUAAAAAGAACCCAGCCUUGGGGCAUCCAAAUUAUGAUUUACCCAUUUUUCUCUUUGUACAUGAAAACAAAGGUGCCACAUGGAGUAUUAACCCAGCAACACAGCGGUUACUACCCACCAGUAGGAUAUACGGCCAGCAGCUAGCUGCAGUAAACAAGGGCUUCUCCCCCCCUCCUUGUCCCGGGGCUGUCUCAGCAACAGCUGUGCUGCAUCAUGAGUCACACUCUCACCAUUCUUUGUCCCCCAUGCCAUGGAAGCUUUACUAAACCCAUCACACACAUUAUUCAAGCCGAUUUAACUUCUCAUGAGAUUGUCUCGCUCUCACCAAAUCUCUCCCCACAGGUGUGACAAACUUCAGCCACCUUGCUCCCAGAAGAAUCAGAUGUUAAUAAUGAAUAUCUUUUCUACCCCAGGACUGAUCUUCAAGAAAGCCCAAUGGAUAAACCUGAUUUUGUUACUCAUGGGUGGUGCGUAUCUGUGAGGACCUCAUGGGAGGUGCCAGGCUGGCUCUGCCAUUGUUCCUCCAGUGUCUGUCCUAGAAAAUGGUCCCUCGUCUCAUGUCUCUUCUGUCCAGCAGGCUGAACUAAUAGCACUGAGAGCCUGCCAGCUGGCAGAAGGAAAGCCUGCUGAUACUUACAGACGGCCGCUGUGCUUUUGGGGUGGACCAGGAUUUCUAACAUCCCGAGGACAGCCUAUUAAAAAUGGUAAACAUGUAGCAGACUUGUUGGAUGCCAGUCUCCUGCCAGGUGCACUUGCUAUUCAGGUAUCAUUCAAAGGCUGACACUGCUGAAGCAAAAGGAAACUCUUUAGCUGAUCACGUUGCCAAGACUGAGGCUCUGAAAAACAAAAACAACCAGCUAAUCACUGCCUUUCCCUUUCAGCCUCCCAGCAACCUUACUGACAUGGUAAAGUUUCAAGGAACAGCACCAGAAAACAGACACCUGGACACACAAGGGAGGAAGACUGAACGCACACAAAGAGCUGUGGAUACACCCAGAUGGGAAGCCUAUCCUUCCGUUUGAAGCUCAAUAUCCUAAUUUGCAAUAUAUUCACGAGUUAAUACACUGGAACCCAGAUAAGACGGUAUUAUGGGGUAAAAAAUUGUCUAAAGGCUUUUGUGAUAGCUCAGGAGGUGUUUAUUCAAGAUGUGCCACUUGUCCAAAAUAUAACCUAGGGAAGCCGUUACAUAGUUCUCAAGGGAAUUUGCCAUGACCUGCAGGUCCCGUUGCGAUUUGGCAGACUGAUUUUAUACAGUGCCCCCCUCUCAAGGUUAUCAGUAUGUUCUUGUUAUGAUUUGUAUGUUUUCACACUGGGUUGAGGCAUCCCAUGCUGAAGGGCCACAGCCCAAUCGGUAGGGAAUUUAUUUUACGAAGAGUGAUGCCCAUCUGGGGAGCCCCCUCAGAACCACAUGCUGACAGAGGAACUCAUUUUACUGGACAAAUGGUUAAGAUUGGGCCCGUUACGCAGCAUUUCCAUUGUGCUUACCACCCCCAGUCCUCUGGGUUAGUAGAAAGAACAAAGGGAACAAUUAAAACCCAGCUGGCUAAGAUGAUGAAUGUUUAUUCCUUACCUGGCCUAAGGCCCUUCCAUUGGUUCUCCUCAACCUCAGAUCCACCCGUUUCGGAAAACAUUUGUCUCCUUUUGAACUGAUCAGGCGGAGACCAGUGAGACUGGAUGAAGGACUAUAUGAACCUAUACUAAUGAGAAGGGGUAUGUUACGUUAUUGCAAGGGUGUAAUUGCAUUAACAGGACAUUAUAAGCUUGUUUCCGGACCUUAUCACAGUACUCUUUCCUUAAAUGAUGAUCAGAUGCCCUAUGACCUGCAACCUGGAAAAGGCAUCAUUUAACGGACUCUCUCCAACCUAGAUGGAAGGUCCCUUAUCAGGUUCUUUUAAGUAGCUCAUGCACAGCAAAAUCGAAGGUAAUUGACUCUUGGAUUCAUAUUUCCCACCUAAAAAGGCACCGGUCUGGUCUACAGAGAGGACUGCUGACCUCAAACUCCCCUUAAAGCGAUGCUCUGAUAGGAAAGAAACACCAAUGCCAGGACGAGAAGACGACGACAUCAGAAGGAGACAGCUAUCCCAAGAUGCUGGACCUUACCGUAUGAUUAUUAAUAACAUUUUCUUGAUUUCUUGGACUUUCUGCACAUGAAUCAAAUGUUUUUCUAUCAUGGGUACGAUCCUGUGCAGAUUUUAGAAGUCAUUCCAGUUGUUGGGUUUGUGGUCAAUUACCUACAUCCACUACUUCUGGUUAGUGGGUUUCUCCUCUCCAAGGCUCUGAUUGGAUGGCCCAUAGAAAACUUUAGAAAAAAGAAGUUAAAGUUCUGUCUGAUCCGCAACUGAUGCUACUAUGGGAACCCCUCACUUGGCCAGUCAAGCAUUCUUGCUCUGACUUUGGCCAUAAAUGAGUUUUCCCUUAAAGUUACUCAAGCUCAAUUAGAGCAACAGCUAAAUUUCGGUCAAAAAUUAUAACUUCCUAUUAGGAGGGAUACCCCCUCAGUUAUGGGAUAGGUUUAUAUGGCUAAUACCAGGCUGUGGUCCCUUAAGGCGCCUCCCUAUGUUGGGAACAAUUAAAUCACACUGAAGAUAUUCAGCCUAAUAACACCAGAAAAUUAGGCUGGGUGCCUUAAUGAAAAAUGUCAGUGUAUCAUCAUUUCCCUUAAAGAUAGUGAUUGAUAUGGAACAGACUGGGUCAGGCGCCCAGGAGUAUACUGGGUUGCACCCAGUGGAACUCAGUGGUUUUGUGGCACCAGUCUACAUCCCUGGCUUCUUCCAGGAUGGAUGGGAAGAUGUACUUCAGGAUUCCCUAGGGCUCAAGGCCACUUGUGUGCUAAUUUAGAGAUGACUCCAGCAAAUUUACCAAGAGAUCUGUAUUCCCCUCGUAUGAUCAUGUAGCAUCUAUUUUUAUGCUUUUAGUAGGAUUGGAAGAUGGACCUCCCAUAUCAAAGCCUUAACAGAAUUCACCCAAAAGCCCCUAAAUGAUUAAUCAUUGAGGCCUCUGUGAUGAGAAAAGUGGUAUUACAAAAUCACAUGGCCCUUGAUAGCCUUAUAGCAUCUCAAGGAGGCACCUGUGCUAUAAUUCAAACUGAAUGCUGUGUUUUCAUACCAGACAAAUCCUCUACUCUAAUAGGAUGCAUUUAAUGACCCACACGAAAAACCAGAUUUCUGCCUUAAGUGAUUCACUUCCUAGUCUUGGUGAUCGUUUUAGGGAGCUGGUUUGGUUCCAGAACCUCAUGGCUUAAAUCCCUACUUAUGACUUUAUUAAUGUUACUACCUGUAUGACAUCCUGUCUGUUUUAUAAGAUCAUUGUCUCUUGUAUUACCCAAUGUGUAACCAGGCCUUUGACAAAAUGAAUGAUGGCUAAAAUCUUGAGGCAGUCAGUCAUAUAUAUAUAUGACUCUAUAUUGAAUAAUUGGAAUAGUGCCACUCUAGAUAUGAGAAGAAACAAGGAAAAAGACUUCCCGGAUCAUAACAGAUUAGUUAGGACAGGUGAUCCAGAGAAUUUUAGGUUAUCAACAGGGCCUAAUCCAAAAAUAAAACAUUGGCCUAUCAAGUCCUCAUCUGACCUACAAAAUGAGAAUUCCCAGCACUGUGGGACAAACUGGCCAUGAAUGGAGGAUACCAGGCACCAUUCUGUGCUCUGGAUACUGGCCUUAGUUAAGAUGCACACCUAAAGGAUAUUUUCACUAAAGGAUAUUUUCACUGAGCCCAGACUCUUGCAUCUUCUCAUGCAUAGAAAAGCACUAAAAUCAUUAACCUGAGAUGCCUGUUUUUGUGGUUAGCAGGAAUCUUUGUUCAGAAUUUCCUGUUUCAAGCAAAAAACUCCUACGUACCCUGGCUCCUCUGUAACCUCUGAGGGCUGUCUGACAGGCUAUAGUCCUCAGUACGGCCCCCCAAAAAACCUGAAGGUUGUGCGUUUUUCUUCAGUCAGUCAGCAGUAGACUGGUGCGGUUGACACGAGUGCUUCACAGUGGCCUAGCCUAUAUGGUAAUGAAUAACUCGUUACAUGUUUUUUAUGGCUUAUAACGUCAGUCAUAUUCAUAACACAGUAUUGGAAACAUUGUUACAUAAAAAGACAUUUACCUGUGAUAGGCUAAUCCACCGUCUGUCCCAACUACGAGAGACACAAAGAUCUAAAACAGUAAGAGCACUAUAACAUUCUUAAUUUUAUAUCGAAUACCACUCGCCUUAUGCCUGUGUAAGGAUAGACUAGUACCUACAUGUAUUUCAUGCAUUCAUGACAUACCUGACUCUUGUUUCAAUAUUUCUAGGCUGUGUGGUUUGUCUGAGUUUUUUCAAAUUGUUGCAAAUCUCCAAAAAAAUUUCCAAUAUAUUUAUUGAAUAAAAUCCACCUUUAAGUGGACCCAUGCAAUUCAAGGUUCACCUGUAUAGUGGGCUGGAAGAGAGGAGAGAGUUUCUACAACCUGGCAGAUGAUUUACACGGGCUCUGUCCCACCUGUCUGACAGGUGAGAAAAGACAUGGCUACCUGGUGAGCUCUCCCAGCCCAUUGUUAGUGAACCAGACUUGGGUGCAACACUGGGUUGUGGUGAAGGAAGGUGCAGCGUUUGUAAGGCAUCCAACCUGGGCCCAAACAAGGAGGACGGGCAGCUUGCGCUCAAAAGACCUGAACCCCCUGUGGCACCACCCCAUCUUUUAGGGGAGGGUUUUUAAAGACAGGGUGCAGGAGAGGGUCGCAGGGUGUGUUGCCCUCAGUGUUCAGGCUAGAAAGAAGAUCCUCUAGUGAAGUUGUGACAUACGAGUUUGUAUCAAUUCCCUUCAGUCUCACUGUGCCUGAGCAAGUUAAGGGUACCUGAUAAGUAAAUUAGGAGUCUGAGAUUAACAUACACACACUACCGUAUAUAAAAUAAACAAGGACCUACUGUAUAGCCCUGGGAACUAUACCCAAUAUCUUGUAAGAGCCUAUAACGGAAAAGAAUCUGAAAAAGAACAGAUAUAUAUGUAUACAUAACUGAAUCACUAUGCUGUACACCUGAAACAACACUGUAAGUAAACUAUACUUCAAUAAAAAAAUAUAUCAUUGAUGCUUGAUUAAAAAAAAAAGUACCUCGUAAGAGUCCUUCCAUCUAGGUUGGAGACAGUCCUUUCAAUGAUGCCUUUUCCAGUAUGUGUGAUCUUUAUCCAAAGAGAGAUUGCUGUGAUAAGCUUCAGAAACAAACUUGAGUGUCCUUUAACAAUUCAAUUAAAACUUGACAAUUAUGUAACAUAAUUGGGAUAGUUAAGGAGUUUGGGAUUAACAUGUACACACUACUAUAUAUAAAAUAGAUAACCAACAAAAGGACCUACUGCAUAGCACAGGGAACUCUGCUCAAUGUUAUGUAAAAACCUAAAUGGGAAAAGAAUUUAAACAAGAAUAGAUACAUGUAUAUGUA